CAUAUGUGAUUGGAUUUUGAGUUACUGCUAAUCCCAGGACAGAAUCUUUUCUUCUUCCCUUUGAUCUUUUUUCCUCCCUCUUUUUGGUCUCAAGAUGGGGAAAACUCCAGUGAACUUGGUAUCUGGGAAUGAGUGUCUGAGCAAAACUGACAGGUGGGGAGUAACUUGGGGAGACCCGAGACGUGGGUAGUGAUCUGGAGGCUGUGGGUUUCCCUGCAAGCCCAUUGGAAGGAUACCAGGAGAAUCAAAAAUUCCCAUUUUUGUGUUUGAAUCUAGCACACUCAUGUUUUUAAACUCCUCCACGAGCAUUUUAACCGAGAUUUCUUUUGCAAACUUGUCCCUUCUUUUUACUUUGACUAUAACGUAAGAGGGAAAGCACCAGAUGAAAGAGAACGCUUUUUGUAGCUGUGUGUGCCCCUUGCCCCCGUGUGCUCACGGCUGGGACGCGAGUGCUGGUGGGCUUUCGGAGCGUGUGUCGGGAAGUGUGCCUAAGAAGAGAAAUUCUGAAUUGGAGCGAUUUACACGUUGAUGCAUCUCAGACCUUGACUUAAAGCUUCGCUCCACCGAGAUGGUCCAUUCGAUUUAGAACACCAGGGCGAUUUACCCCGGCCCGAAAAUGAUCACCUGGCCUUUUUCAGCAUGCUUGAAGUCCGGUCACUUACGUCGUUUCAGAACUGAGUGAGGGACCUUCUUGCAGAGCAAUCAAGACGUGGCAGAGCCUGGGGCCCCCGCGCGGCCGACACCGUGCCUGGCGAGCGAGGUCAGUCUGGCAAGAGUUGGGGAAUGCUUGUUUGGCUGAGGUUUCCACAGGUGUGACCUAGUUCCUUGAUCCUCUGUAGAGAGUGGCUCGUUGAUUAGCAAGCCUUCUCCUCCUCUAGGAAGGAGGGCUGUGCUGGUUUUUCCCAGACCAAAGAGAAUCACUUGUGACUCCCAUUUCAAGGGGACAGAGCCUAGGAAGCAGCUUCUCCUAAUUUUUAACACUAAAACUCAAGGAAACAAUGAGGGAAAGGACAUAUUACUGGCACGGAUGGAAAUAGGGGAACGGUAGAACCCGCCCCCAGCACCUGUCAGCUCUCCAGUGCAUUCUGACGCGUCUUUGCUGAGCUGCCAAAGUGGGGGUUGGAAGUUGUUUCCUAACGAGAGAAGGGGUUUCGGGUGGCAGGCUCCAGAGUGAUAACUGCACUGAACGACACUUUAUUUUUUUUGGCUUAUUAUUUAGCACUGAAAAGCCAAGAGGGGUUGGUGAUGACGGUAGCACUUGGAGGGCAGAGGUCCCCUGUGGCCUUGCUUUGGAGAGAAGGCAUGCUUGGUGUUCCAUCUGGCUAAUCAGGGAAUCCCAAAGUCCAUACAGCUUCGGAGUGGAUAAAGGGCCCUCGAGUCCCUCGCCAAAAGAGUAGUUGCUUUCUUUGAGUUUUCAAAGUUUGACUUCUGGAUUUGCUGGAUCAAAUAACCCACUUUUUCUUUAAAAGAAAAAAAAAAGUGGAUUUACCCUUCUAAAUAUGGGGGGAACAGUUAGGGCUAGUGCUGUGUAAAAGUGGGUGAGGAGGGGGUAACCUUCAGAAACUUGUACUGCAAACUCCUUUGGGGGUUGCGAGGAGCACUACUGUUCUUAAAAGGGUUUUAUUUUUAACUUCAUCUGCUUUGUUAACAUCCAGUCCAGUUGAGAUGCCCGCGGAGACUAUGUGAAGACCUGGCGUGGGGGGAGGCCACCCGACUCAGAGGGUUGGGAAGGAAAUCGGUCUGGACAGCUUGUUGUCUUUUAUUCUUAUGUAAUAUUUGUGUUUGUUUCAGAGGACUAAUGUCUAUUACAGUGUUAAUAAAAGUGUAACAUACUAAGUGUGUAGAAUAAAAGUGCAGUAACAAGAGGAAGUUACCUUGGCACAAACCUCAGUCCUUCACUCUCCCUUCCUGUGCUGUCUCUUGGCGUAAUAUGGCAAACAAGACCAUAUUGUUUUUUAAGAGACAUGACUCUGGGUUAAAUCUUCAUCUAGUGUCGUUUUGGAUGGUUGGGUUUGGUUUUAUAGAGUGUCCCGUCUCCUCGUGGGGAUACACAGAUGCCACAUGUGCUGUAGAAUAAAGGUCACAUUAACAUUUGACAUUUA